CUAUACAUGCAAGUCGAGCGCGCCCUUCGGGGUGAGCGGCGGACGGGUGAGUAACGCGUGGGAAUAUGCCCUUCUCUAAGGAAUAGCCUCUGGAAACGGAGAGUAAUACCUUAUACGCCCUUCGGGGGAAAGAUUUAUCGGAGAAGGAUUAGCCCGCGUUAGAUUAGGUAGUUGGUGGGGUAAUGGCCUACCAAGCCUACGAUCUAUAGCUGGUUUGAGAGGAUGAUCAGCCACACUGGGACUGAGACACGGCCCAGACUCCUACGGGAGGCAGCAGUAGGGAAUCUUAGACAAUGGGGGCAACCCUGAUCUAGCCAUGCCGCGUGUGUGAUGAAGGCCCUAGGGUCGUAAAGCACUUUCGCCAGAGAUGAUAAUGACAGUAUCUGGUAAAGAAACCCCGGCUAACUCCGUGCCAGCAGCCGCGGUAAUACGGAGGGGGUUAGCGUUGUUCGGAAUUACUGGGCGUAAAGCGCACGUAGGCGGAUUAGUAAGUUAGAGGUGAAAUCCCAGGGCUCAACCCUGGAACUGCCUUUAAUACUGCUAGUCUUGAGUUCGAGAGAGGUAAGUGGAAUUCCGAGUGUAGAGGUGAAAUUCGUAGAAAUUCUGAGGAACACCAGUGGCGAAGGCGGGUUACUGGCUCGAUACUGACGCUGAGGUGCGAAAGUGUGGGGA
rnacentral:rRNA from 1 species